UAGGCAUGUGAGAGGAACAAACCCUAGUUUUUUUUUUUUUUUUGCACACUGGUAAUUUGUAUGGUGGACAAUAUGGGCCCUUGAACAUGAGUGAUUUUUUCAUUGGAGAAUUUGUGACCAUUCCCAUGUGUUACCCUUUUACUCUUUGUCAUUGUUAUCCUCAAAUCAAAUCUCACCUGAUAUUGAUCAGUAUAUACCUACUUUCUUAUAUUCUAAUCAACAGUAAAAGCGUCAAUUAUGGUCUAGUCUAAACUGACGAUCUGAUUGUAUAAAACAAUCCCAAAGGGUAUUUAAAAUUUAGGAUCAUAUGUAAUCGAUUUUUGGUUAAUUGGAUAGUCAGACUAAACCGAAAUAUAUGCAAUCAUGUGAAGGUUAUGGUCGAAAAUGUCAAGUUGAUAUGAUGCAUGACAACUU
rnacentral:lncRNA from 1 species